rnacentral:rRNA from 1 species
CCCCGGCGCCACAAGUGGUCAUCGCGAUUAUUGGGCCUAAAGCGUUCGUAGCCGGUUCGGUAAAUCUCUUGUGAAAUUGUUCGGCUUAACCGGACAGCGUGCAGGAGACACUGCCGAUCUCGAGACCGGGAGGCGUAUGAAGUAUGUCAUGGGGACUGGUAAAAUGGGAUAAUCCAUGAUAGACUACCGAUGGCGAAGGCAUCAUACGAGAACGGAUCUGACGGUGAGGAACGAAAGCCAGGGGA